CGAUUCUGGCUCAGAUUGAACGCUGGCGGGAUGCUUUACACAUGCAAGUCGAACGGCAGCACGGACUUCGGUCUGGUGGCGAGUGGCGAACGGGUGAGUAAUGUAUCGGAACGUGCCUAAUGGCGAGGGGAUAACUACACAGCGUAGCUAAUACCGCAUACGCCCUUCGAAACAGGGACCUUCGGGCCUCGCACUAUUAGAAGCAGCCGAUAUCGGAUUAGCUAGUUGGUGGGGGUAACGGCUCGCAAAGGCGACGAUCCGUAGCUGGUUUGAGAGGACGACCAAUACCUCAGUUCGAAGACUAACCAAACUCUCAAGGAAAGGGCUGGCUGAUGAAAUUACGGACAAUGAGAAGCCACAGUCAGCCAUCCCGCGGUGUUGCUGAUAAGGCCUUCAGGUUGUAAAACACCUUAGCAAGGAAAAACGGCAGAUAAUACCCCGUGCAACUGACAAUACCUACAGAAUAAGCACCACCAGCAGCUACGUGCCAGCAGCCGCGGUAAUACGUAGGGUGCAAGCGUUAAUCAAGUUACUGGGCGUAAAGCGUGCGCAGGCGGUUCGAAGAAAGAUGUGAAAUCCCAGAGCUUAACUUUGAACUUCGUACAACUACCUACGAACUAAAUUAUUAAUAUCAGAAAGGUAAAUUCCGCGUGUAGCAGUGAAAUGCGUAGAUAUGCGGAGGAACACCGAUGGCGAAGGGCAGCCUUUCCUGAGACAACACUGACGCUCCUUUAGCGUGGGAGCAAACAGGAUUAGAUACCCUGGUAGUCCACGCCUAAACGAUGUCAACUAGCCUGUUAGAACCUUCGGAACCUUAAUGGCACAACUAACGCGUGAAGUUGACCGCCUGAGAGAGUACAGUCAUAAGAUUAAAACUCAAAGAUCAACAAGACCACACCAACAAUGAAUGAUAAUAAUAGUCAAUUCAAUCUACCUGAAAAACAACCACCACCUUACCAAUAUCUUAAUCAAAAGUUCAAAUAUAAACAAGAGGAACCGGUUACGGGUACUUUCUACUAUAAGUAUCAUCCAGCUCGUGUCGUGAAUGUUGGGUUAAGUCCACAACGAAGCACCAACCCUUGUCGUGGAUUUACUACGAGGGCUCUAGUAGGACUGCGGUGACAAACCGGAGGAAGGUGAAGAUGACGUCAAGUCCUCAUGGCCUUAUGCGUGAGAGCUUCACGUCAUACAAUGGUCGGGACAGAGGUCGCCAACCCGCGAGGGGGCCAAUCCAGAAACCCGAUCGUAGUCCGGAUCGCAGUCUGCAGCUCGACUGCGUGAAGUCAGAAUCGCUGAUCAUGUCGCGUGCGCGGUGAAUACGUUCAGGUCACUAUACCCUACCCGUCGCACAUAUAGAAUAGGAUUUUACCGAAGUAGUUAGCCUAACAAAUAAGGAGGGCGAUUACCGCAUUAGAAAGUUCGCGGCUAAGGGUAGAGUCGUAACAAGGUAA
rnacentral:rRNA from 1 species